AAAGAUCAACGAAAAUUACGUUACAUUAACAUAGUCUCUGCUGCACCAAUUACGUAAUUUGUUCUUCAAAUCGCGUAGAUCACGAGUGGCAUAACUUGCUAUUACAUCGCGGAUGUUCGUACUUUUAGGAAAAAUUUCAACGCGCCAAUAUGCAUAGAAGCCGCAUAACGUGUAAAUCGUUCAAACUACUCGUUAUAAUACUUAGAGCGCAAAUUACCUUUAUUUAAUCGACCAAUAAAUCAAUAAUUCUUUAUUUAUGUUGCAACUUUUUAAUCGUGUUUAGAAUAACAUAAAUUGGUACAAACGCAGUGUAAUUAUUGGAAAGAAAAACGUUAAUGUACAAUAUAUGUCGCAAUAAUUAACGUAAUUUAGUUUCGUCUCACAAGCAAACAACUCGGGAAAAAGAUCAUGGACCACGAGUGACCCACGAAACACAGAACGUGUUAAUGGAUAUUUAAAUAGGAACGGCAGAGAAGUUGAACAAAAUGCAAAUGAAUCGGAACAACGAAAGCUUGCCGUUCCACUAUUGAUUUGACGGUGGCCGCUUAUUGAAUUUCAAUUUACCCGACAGCUUAAUCGUCAUCGAUCGACUUAAUAUCCAUCGGAGGCAAAGGUAACGCGCUCGCAACGUAACCGAAAGCUAAUAAGGAAGCACUUCUCCUCGCGGCCGCGGAGCUGCGAGUAGAUUAUCGUCGAUCGAAUCAUUACGCAACGAACAAUUGAAAGCCGCUAACCCUACCGAGAAGUACUAAACUUCAACCGCGUAAUUAGCGUCGCAUUGUAUCGGUUAAUUCCUGCUCGAAUCGUUUGUUAUCGUUUAGAUCUCGAUGCUACUCGUUCAUCGUAGCUCUCGUUUCAACGCUACGAAUCGAUCGUCAUUUAAACGUCGAUUUGCAUCGUCGUUGUAAAUGUCGAUGGAACAUCGUUGUUGUAAACGUCGAUCGAUCCAACCAUUCUGAUCGUGACUUGGCCAACGUAAAAAUUUCACGAAGCAAAACAGUUUCAUAGACCUGCACGAUUCAACUUGGGAAUACUUGGAACAAACACUGCUAUCGGACCAUUUACGCAAUUAGUCGAUGUCAGGCUGCGCCAGUCUUCUCAUUGAUUGAUCGACCCCCGCGAGAGAAGGUCUAGGUCAAGGCUACCGGGGUCAGGAAAUAAGAGAGGUCGCGUGAACGCUGCAACUUGUCGAGAAGGGGAGAGAACGAGCCCACUGGUGUCGUGGAGAGGAUAAAAAGGGGUGCAUUCGCUGUUCUCGACGGAAGAAAGUCGACGUCGAUUUCACCGCAUUACAGCUGUGAUUGGAACACGUCAAUGUGGAGUAGCCCGAUAUCGGAAAAACGCUGAUCCAACAAUAAAACCUGUUCUCCUACCGUGUAGUAAUCACCUGUCAGAUUACGACUACAAGGUUACAUUUUCGUUUCACCUAACAACAAAGAGAGCAAUGGGAAGGAAGAAACGGCGGAGAUCACGGGAGAGAGGGAAAGGAACGCGCCUAAUGAUCGCGUGUUCCGCACAGGUGAUCGCGAGGUCAAACGUUGCUUCUCCAAAGUCCGAUAACCACCGACUGCGAACGAAAUGAUUAACGAUAGCCUGAGAAAACCAGACGUAGAACCAAAGAGGAGAAAAAGAACGAUGCGAGGGAAGAAAGGUGUGCCAUAUGGAAUUCGGUAUAUAGCAACGGUAAAAUCUGCGAUGGAAUUAAUAGAAAUCGGAGAGUGUUAUGGCACCUCAGGCGCGGACAAUCUGCACUUGAAAUCUACACAGCGAACGACGAAGACUAGAAGCGAAGAGGAAUAACAUUUGCCGGCAGCAAACCGUGUAAACAGCAGUUCCUUUUUCGUGUUGGUGCAGUAACGUUGCUAAAAAAGAAAAUGGCACAAUGACCUGGGACACGCGGUGUUACACGCGGGUCACCUACGCGAAAGCGAACGAACAAGCGAGCGAGCAAAGACGAUGCGGAACGUUUGGUGCAUGGUGCAACUCGCGUACCACGCGGGCAUGCACGCGUGCAUAUCAAUUCCGCGGGCGCGGAGGAGUCGCCAAGAUCUCAUGUAAAUCAUCGGGACAAGAUGGCUCCUCCCUAUUUUCUUGGCGCAAUGUGCACGCAACGACGGAGCGGUAAUGCUCGAAGCAUGUUUGAAAAGCGAAAACGUGGUUCAUCGGAGGACCAGAGAUCGAGCAAAGAGGAGAGACGGAAGGAGAGAAAGAGAGUGGAGAAGUGUCGAGUGUUACACGCGUGAAUAGUGCGUUUCGUUGUAUAAUGCGCGCGAGGAACACACCGAGCCGAUGCACUCGCGCAACGGUCGACCAAACCGAAGUCUAUUUCAUCGUAAAUCAUGACGAGCAACUAUUUACUUAUCGUAGAAUCGUAAAUAACGAGACAAAAAGACACGCUGCAUACCGGCAAAAAUUCACUUUACAAUGCUAAUGAAAUUCUAAAAAGUUCUGUACAAAGGAUAUAAUAAGUUCAUAAAAAUUUAUUAUGGUAAGUGUUCAAAUUGUUUCGCGAGUCAUCGUACAUAAGAUAAAAAAGCAGACUUUUGAUUUGACGUUAUUAUCUCUAAAGCACUUUUUGAAAGAAAUUUCUAUUUUUCUUCGUGCAGCGCCACUUAAGAGAGGUAGUCCAUUACUUUUAUUGCCCGACCAUCUGUGCGUUACCUGAAUUACCGUAAACUAUUUGUCCUCGUUCGCGACACAACACCGGUAUUUUCCCGAAACAGAAUUAUUUUCCUCUCUAAUCUCCUCGGAUUAGCCCGGAAAGUAUCCCGGUUAAAAGAAACUCACCUAUUUCACUCUCAACGAUCAAGGAACACCAAGAAUCGACUGCAAUUCGUAAUCAACCCGAUGAAUGAUCGAAUUACCGGGAUGUUCGACGAGCCUGCAUCCAAGCAUCAAGAGGAACCACCGAGAGUAGACCAACUGUCUGUCGAUGUCUAAUUACGCACUGAUUUUGUCCCUUCUCAUUUUCGUUCGGUCUUCACAACGUUAAGUAACUGACGGUCCUGCGGGACGAACCUGCGCAACUUUCGUGGUAGACAGAGAGGAUGAAACCGCAUCGAAAGCCUCCCCUGCCUAAGCUUCGGCCAGACUCCUCGAGACACCCCUUUUUCGCCUAGCUAAGUCAAAUCGACCGAACGUGCUCAUCGGCCCCUGUAAUCGAGACGCGAAUCUUUCUAUCCCCGCGCAUGUAAAACGUGUGUGUACGUUGCAAAGCGGCCUGGUAAACGCAAACUACACAGGGUGUUAAAAUAUCAAUCUCUCGACGUUUUAAAUUACACGCGAGAGAGAUCUCGAACGCACGUGUUGCACGGGGACCGGUAUCGUUAGACUGUGAAUCAACGACGGAAAGAAACGAGCGCAGGCCGUAGUUCUGUAGCCAGUUACGAUGACUAGGGAGAACGAGGGAAAAAUGUAAACGGAAGAAGCGAGCUAAAAGUGCAAAUAAGUAAACCGCUAACGACUCUGCCUAGUCGCUUCUCUCGGCAGAUUUGCAAGACGUAUUUGCAGACUCCACCUUAAACCGAGCCACAUGGCUACGCGUAUACUUUCUAAUUAUAUAGUAUCUUCCCGCCAUCAGCUGUGCUCGUUGGCUGACCGAGAAACUCGCCGGGAUAAAAAAGAAGGCGGGGGCAAAGUCGAAGAAAACUCGGCACUCAACGGAUAGCUCUCGACGAAAAGGUGGGAGAUGCGCAACCAUUAUAAACCUGCGACACGUUGCGCGAUUCGCGCUAUUGCAAAACGAGAAAAUAGAGGGGUCAAUGCGCGCGAUCGCGGCGUUAUCCUCGGAGAGGAAAAAGAGGAUUUCAAGCGCGAUCUUUCGACCAUGGUCAGAGGAGCGCAAAAAAGAAACUCGUAAGAAGAGUUAACAUCCCGUACGGUUUCGAAAUGAUAAAUAAAACGAACGAACAAAAUUUAAAAUAAGAAAGCGUGCUGCAUAGUGCGCAAAGGGGAUAUAAUAACGCGAAAGUUAGUACGCGCGGCCCCGAAGAAAACAAACGAUCGGUGAUAUGUUUGCAAAAAGGGUGCUAGGUAACAGUGUGUGAUACCACCGUGUAGAGUACGAUACAGAGGUUGGCCGUGCAACAACCUCGUAGUUCACCGACUACGCCUGCAGCUUCUGUACGCCACGCGAACAUACACCAUCCACUUUCCUAUUUUGCGUUCAGUAGCGACCGCUUCAUUUCGAUAACGGUAACGCAGCUCGAUCGUUCUGCCAAUUUUGUUGCCAAUUCAACCGGACCGAUCGUAAAGACGAUCAAAGUUGAAGGCACAGUAAAUUAGCUACGAAGCGAUCAGACGGUCAGGCCGACUUUUUCUACUUCCGCGCUCUCCGGAAUAUGACUCACCUUCUAGUCUCGUUCGGAUUAGACAAGUCGCUUUCGAAUUCAAGACGUUUGAGUUCAAUAACUCUACUUCAAGUUUCUGUACAUAUAAGUCAAGUUGCUUUAAAGUCGUUUCAAUGUAAAUGAAAUACUUCAACUUCGUUUAAGGCUUUAGAAAUUAAGUAUUCCAAAACAACCGAAAGAACAGUUUGUAAAACGGUUUCAGAUAACUCGAAGUCGAAUGACUUGACUAAUAAAAACGAGCUUAUGACGAAGAUGAAAACUCGCAACUCUAAGCAAAUAACAGGUUCGUAUUCCGUACAUAACAAAACGAUAGAUUCGCUACUAUAGUAAUUUCAAGACGCUUCAAUUCAGACAACUUGAUUAAUUUGAACGGAGCGUUAGAAAUUCUUACAAACAAUCUUGUUUCCCGAUAUAUACAUCAAAGUUUGGGAAACGUCGAGUAAAACUUGAGGCACACGAGUAACGUGCUCUAAUAGGUUAAAGCACGAAGCAAUUACUCAAGCUACAGCAUCGAAAACAAGCAGUCAUCUUUCGAAACGUCUUUCGAGACUAGACGCCUACGUUAAAAACCACUUGCAGAACAAACUCCAUCCAAGUUGUAGCGAACGAAGGAAGUACAUGUUAUACGAGUAUCAAGAAGUAACAGGAUGGUUAUUCGCAAAACGGUCCCGUUGCUAAUGGAUAGACGCGUCCGAGCAGAAGGUCAGUUUGGCGUUAGUAAAGGGUCAGCCAUAUAAAAACGUAGAUCGACUCGAGCUUUCGAAGAGAACAGGUUUUUCACAGUUCACCACUUCUUCGCUCGUGUAACAUCGCUCCCGUUCCGCGCAUAAUACUCGCAUAGAAACCUGCGGUGCACCUAUUCUCGCCGCGGACCCGUGAGAAAGGACACGGAAGAUCGACGAUCGCUUGUAAACAUCGAGAAGAGUUGCGGAAAUUUUCGCACGACCCUGAUAUUUUACGAGCCGACUGUGCACGUGAUCCGUACCGCGCCCACGUACCAUCCAUACGUACGAUUCUUUUUUCUUUAACCGUUGUUCCGUUUCUAUACGUCGAGCUCGCGAAUUCUACGCUAGAGAGAAACCUGUACGCUAAUAUAGGGUGUUCCAGUUUUUUCCGACUGAAAUUUGUCGCGACAUUUUAGGAGUAUAAACGAGAAAGGAAUAUUACACGGACGUAGGUCGUUUAAGGUUUUAUCAAGAAAUUGUAGGAAAAGUAAAACCUUAGUCUUCAUUAUUGCGAUGAGUUAAUACGCAGAAUCCAUUGAUCAUUUGAGAUGAAGUUGAAUCCAUCUUCGUCGAAUAAUAAAUAUUAUUUCUUACCACUAUCAAUCUUCUGUCGAUGAACGUCUAACUAAUGAUUAGUAAUUACGUCGAUUGUGAGCCUAUCAAAGGAUUUUAUCAUAGCAUAAAAACUACAGCUUUGUUAACACGUCCUUUAUUUUUAUAUUACAAUAUUAAUGUAUUACAACUUGGUAAUGAAGCUUCGAAUCUGCUAUCUUCAUAUCAUAAUAUUUUUAUAUCAUUCGUACCUAUAAAGUACAGUUUGACUAGAAAAAGUCUGAAACACCCUAUAUUCGUUGAACAUAGAAAAAAAAGGUGCUGCAGCAGCAGCAGAAGAGCAGCGAAGUUGAACGAAGUUUAACUUCGUUAAAGGCUUAGAGGGAAACUUUGAGCGACGGUAUUUUCAGGCUGUCGCGAGCACGAAUAGGGUAACAAGCCCUAUUCCAAGUUCUUGCCACGGCUAAACGUGUCGUGGCAAGAUUGCGUACCAACCAGCAACGAUUCGAAUCUCGCAAAAGUCGCGGCGUAAGUUCACGACGCUUGGUACAUACGCGUCUAGUAAUCAGAAACUCGCGUGCUCGACUUUGUGUACGCGGUCAACGUCUCGAACGUCAUAAAUUAUAUCAUGACCCUGCGGUAGUUCGUGAUCAAGAUGAUCUAUAGGUACUAGAAUAUUCACAUGGGGAUAGGUCAUGAGCGUAGACGGAAGAAGAGGAACGAGGAAAUAUUCCAGUUGUUUACGAGAUGGUUUCUCCGCGGAAGAAGAGGAACGAGGAAAUAUUCUAGCUGUUUACGAGAUGGUUUCUCCACAGUUGAUCUAGGAUAGAUUCAACUUAGCUAAAUCCCGUAGUUGGAGUAUCGCCAGAGAGCAGAGAGAGAGAGAGAGAGAGAGAGCACUUAAGAGCGCAAUCUCUUCAUCUAAAUGAACCCGUGGCACGAAAAUUACCCAUUGUAACUGAGGCUAUUUUUCUUGCACUUCAAAAGCCCGCGUACCUAUAGUAGAAAGAAAUUCACACGAGCUCUUGUAUGAUCGCGAUCUUCAUACAAUAGUUCAUAAAAAUAUUCCAACAUUUGUAGAAACCUUUUAUGAAUAUAUUAUGCGUUUACGAAACAUUUUCCGAUUUAAUUAACAUUGUAAUGAGACUCGACUAUCACUUUGAAGCUACAAAACAUUUAGUGAAAAUAUCCUUAAUACACUAUACAUAAAAUAGCUAUUACGGUAGAGUUUCCUACGUCCGAAUACUUUCGUGAGCCCACUGUAUGUGUACGCGAGUGUGUAUCCUGAAUUUUAGAAAAAGGAAGAAAAAAGAGAAGAACGUGUAUUUGAGCGAACAAUAAUAUACCGCUGCGCAAAGAGAAGCCGGCGUCGUAUACGAGGAAUUAAACAAUCGACCGAUUGUUAUCGGGCGUGACGUCUAAUAAAUAUGCAACGGGAAUGCAUCUACCCGGCGGUCUGUAAAACAAAAAACAUCGGAGGUAGCCCGGAAAUCGUUUAAUGGCGCCGGCAGCUCGGACACGCCGGCAGCCUCCGAAAAUUUCUACCUUGCGAGCAUGCGAUUUAAAGCGAGUCUAAUUUUAAAGCAAACAAAGAGUUAACAUUUAUUACGGCCGCUCCUCUCUGCCAUCAACCAGUUCAAUUGGCUACAAUUGUAAACUCAUUAUGACGAGGCAGACUAAACAGAAAAAUAUGGAAAAACGUCAAUGUCAAGGCUUGUGCGAUCUUUCCUAGUUUUCCUGUCUCUUUUUUCGUUUUUUGCUCGUUAAAACGAGAAACAACGAGCGGACAGCGUUUCUUUUAACGACCUUUCCAUGCGCAUACGUAGAGAACGCGUGAUUAAAAAGAUGUGCGAGUUUUGGAAAAGGUACGCGCCGCUCGAUUCUCUCUUUCCCUCGUCGUUCCUACUAAUUUAAAUCUCGGCAUCGUUAUCCAAGAACAUCGUUACCCAAUUAUACUUAUACGGUAAAUGACAAAGUGAUGGUCGUUUUUCGGAUGAAGUCACCGAUGUCAUCUCAAGGUCGGCCUUUUUUACACGCUAAUAAAACCUACAUGACGAUGCAAUUUUUCAAGUAACCGAUAAUAUUUUUCUUCCUUAUUUCGUUUUUUAUUUUUGCGUAACAUGUUGACCAUCAUGAGUAAUCGUUAUUCGUGAUCGAUAUUGGAUUUGCCAGAGACGCCGUAUGAUGAAACAUUUGAAUUACAUAAACGCUGUUGUGCGUUCGUUCUAUGUAUAAAACAAGGCCCUGUAAUUAAAAAAGAAUUCUUGUCGCAGCCCACGCGUUAAGUAAUAUAAACUGGAACAAAUAAAAAAGUUGAACGCACGACAAUAAAGGGGCGCGUAUCAGAUAACAAUUUUUAAUCCACCCUAGGCCUCAGUUAGGUAAUUUCGCGAGCCUCGAUUUAACCGGGCUACCUCGGUCCCGAUUAAGCCAGUCAAUCGAGACCCCGCUGUAAUUCGUAUCCACGUGUUUCCAGCAAGAGAGGGGAGAGAAUGAAAUGACCCGAACGACCGGCGAAGGUCCUCCGACUUUCCGAAGCACCGAACGGAACGCGUUUUCGCGUUCAAAGACGCGAGACCGAUCGUCGUU